AGUCUCUUCUGCGGUUCUGCAGCUUCUGCCUCUUUUCCUCUCUUCACAAGCAAGCUUAUUAUGCGCAAUAGGAGGCUGGAGACGAGCCAUGAUUGUUUGGUGCAGUCGAUCCUUAUCUGUUAUUGGAUGAGCAAAACCAUAUGCUGCUGCUGAAACAAUCCAAGCCUGAGGGAAAAGAGGAGAGUGAAGAGCUGAAAAGCCUGGGCCUAUUAUAUCGAAAGAUCGGUGUCUAAACUUCCUUUAGUUGGCCUCGUCAGGCCUGGGAAGUAGGUUUUCUCUGGGACUCUGGAAGACCAGAGGCUGAUCUGGGCAAAAGGAGAAAGAGUCCAGAUCUGAUCAUGUUCUGUGUGCAAUUUCAAAGAUUUAAGAGUGAUCUGGAGUGGGCGCUACACUGCUACUGGUAUUGCGUGCAAACUUAGGGAAGGAAGGUAUCCAACUUGAUUAUUAUAUGUAUUUUACUCGCAGGAGCUGCUGAGAUUGUUAAUGAUGGGUCUGAGCCUCUGAGGUGUUGUGCCAAAUGAAAGGCUCAUUGGGUUGACUGCUUCUUUCACAGGUAAAGUUUGCAUAUUUUUCUUCUUGAUCUAUGAAUUUACAUAAUUAUGUCUUGAUUAUUUGCAAUUGAUGAUAUUAUUUUGUGGGUUGCAAGGAAGAUGGAGUUGUUGGGAUUGUUAAAGAUGGUCUGAGGUGUUGUGCCGAAUGAAAGGGUCUCGGUUGGGUUGACUGCUCCUUUCCCAGGGCAUUUUGGAGUCUUGUUAGAACUCCAAACCUUAUAUCUGGACUUUUUGAAACCCAGAAGAAGCAUAAAGUAAUUGGACGAACAGAACAGGGAUUAAUUUUUUUUGUUUUUAUUUUUUAUGUCUUUCAAUUUUGUGUUGGUUAAUGUUUUGCUCAUUUGUCUUUUUAUUUUUUUUAUUAUAUCAAAAAGGCUCCAAUGGCCUUGAAUUCUUCCUAGUUUCCUGAGUAAUUUUGUAAGUAGAAAAUUGGGUGAGUAAGGGGUCUAAAAGGGCAGCAAAAAGAGAGAACUAUAGCAAUUGGAGUAAUUUUUGUUAGUAGAAAAUAGGGUGAGUAAGGGGCUUAGAAGGCUAGAAAAAGAGAGAGAACUAAAUUAUCGAAUAGGCAGAGGGAAAAAAAACACCAUUAUUAAAUAAUUUUUAAUUCCAAAAAAAAAAAAACCGAACUGAGACCUGACUGAACCGAACCAGACUGUCGAUACGGGGCUCGGUUUUAGACUCAAAAAUGGAAAAUCGAACUGAACUGAAAUAUAAGUUUGGUUGUUGAUUUGGGCUCAAAAUUGAACCGAUAUGAAGCGAACCCACCCCUAGUAGUCGGUGGAAGAGAAGAAACGGAAAAAGACUGUGGCUGCUGCUGUUUUAGUGAAUGGAAGAGGUUUAAAAUAAUUUAAAAUAAACAGUGAACUUAUGCUAGUAUAUGCCAAAUUCAAGAGAUUUUACAUGAGUGUGUUGAGGAAGCGUGAAUGGCACCGAAGACAAUGCUCACCUAAUUGGAAGAGAUAGGUUGAUCAUGCAAUUUAGGAUUGAACUCCACAGUCAGAUUAUUAUAUAAAUGCAUGCACUAGCUAGCUGACCACCAAAACGUAUUUGUUCUUUUUCAAAUCUUCUUUUGAUACAAGGAUAGAGAUGGAACUCACUUACUUUCUUGUUUUUUUGUUGUGUUUUUUGCCCACUCUACCAGCACAACAAAACCAACAAAUUUACGAUAUUCUCUUUAUGGUCCUACAGAAUCCUUCGACCUUAAAAGGCAAGGCUCCCUGGGGCAUACAUGGUAUUUGGGCAGAAAAACUUGAUCCACUUGUAGGGCCAUCUCCACAAAGGUAUAAGUAUGUGCCAGUUCAAUCGUGUCAAUCAUUUCCUCCAUUUGACCCUAAGAUUAGUCAAAAAAUUACAAAGGCACUCGAUAAAGCUUGGUCGAGUCUUUCGGCUACGUGGCCAAACGUUAAAUUUUGGGAACAUGAAUAUAACAAACACGGUUCAUGUAUCGUAGAUUUAUUACCAACUUCUACGGAUUACCUAAUGAAAGCACUUUACCUGUGGGAGCAACUCAAGUUUGACGAGGUGAUGGGUAAGGGUAAGCAAUUUGAGCCAAAUACACUAUACAAAACCGAGGAUAUUCUUAAGGGCAUCAAAGUUUCACAUAAUGUUCGACCAGAAUUGACCUGUAUCGGUAAUAAACUAACAGAUGUUAGGUUUUGUCAUACAAGAAAUUGGGUAUUGGUAGAUUGCGAGGGCAUCCAAACAU